rnacentral:rRNA from 1 species
UACGAAGGGGGCGAGCGUUGUUCGGAAUCACUGGGCGUAAAGGGCGCGUAGGCGGCCCUCCUAGUCGCGUGUGAAAGCCCCGGGCUUAACCUGGGAAUGGCCAUGGAAACUGGCGAACUGGAGUGUGGCAGAGGGGGGUGGAAUUCCGCGUGUAGCAGUGAAAUGCGUAGAGUAUGCGGAGGAACACCGAUGGCGAAGGCAACCCUC